rnacentral:rRNA from 1 species
CCUACGGGAGGCAGCAGUGAGGAAUAUUGGUCAAUGGGCGAGAGCCUGAACCAGCCAAGUCGCGUGAGGGAGUACUGCCCUAUGGGUUGUAAACCUCUUUUGUCGGGGAGCAAAAGCCGGACGUGUCCGGCUGUGAGAUUACCCGAAGAAAAAGCAUCGGCUAACUCCGGGCCAGCAGCCGCGGUAAUACGGAGGAUGCGAGCGUUAUCCGGAUUUAUUGGGUUUAAAGGGUGCGCAGGCGGAUUUUUAAGUCAGCGGUAAAAUCGUGGGGCUCAACCCCAUCCAGCCGUUGAAACUGGGGAUCUAGAGUGUGCGAGAGGUAUGCGGAAUGCGUGGUGUAGCGGUGAAAUGCAUAGAUAUCACGCAGAACCCCGAUUGCGAAGGCAGCAUACCGGUGCACAACUGACGCUCAGGCACGAAAGCGUGGGUAUCGAACAGGAUUAGAUACCCUUGUAGUC